rnacentral:rRNA from 1 species
GAUGAACGCUGGCGGCGUGCUUAACACAUGCAAGUCGAACGGAAAGCCUCCUGCUAGCAGGGGUACUCGAGUGGCGAACGGGUGAGUAACACGAGGGUGAUCUGCCUUGCACUUCGGGCCAAGCCUUGGAAACUGGGUCCAAUACUUGACCGGUCCAUCCUUUAGUGUCGGUGGAGGAAAGUUUUUUCGGUGUGGGAUGAGCUCGCGGCCUAUCAGCUUGUUGGUGGGGUAAUGGCCUACCAAGGCGUCGACGGGUAGCCGGCCUGAGAGGGUGUACGGCCACAUUGGGACUGAGAUACGGCCCAGACUCCUACGGGAGGCAGCAGUGGGGAAUAUUGCACAAUGGGCGCAAGCCUGAUGCAGCGACGCCGCGUGGGGGAUGACGGCCUUCGGGUUGUAAACUUCUUUCGCCAGGGACGAAGCGAAAGUGACGGUACCUGGAGAAGAAGCACCGGCUAACUACGUG